UCUUGAAAGUGUACUACAGGUGGUAAUAUUGGCACUGUACAGAAUAAAUACGACUAUUUAAACCCUAAUCAGCUUUGCAUAUAAACAUCAGUACCCUUUAUUGAAUGUGCUAUCUCCGUCCUUACAAAAAAAAAGUGUAUUUUCUCUCCGCUCUUCAUGGCCUCCUCAAUCUUCUGCCGGCUCUGUGAUGCUGUUAGUAGUUGAUUUUCUGUCUCCCUCGUUUGAUACAAGAAAGCAGCAUCCGCCGCCAUCAUCGCCACAAAAGUCUUGCCAACAGCUACCGACACAGCAACACUAGAGAAAACGACUGAGUGGUGAAAACGAACAAGACAUCGCAACACAAAAGUACCAAACCAUCACCAAGAAGCACACCACAUCCAGAUUUCUUCACCAAAGACGUAUAACCAAAAGAUAGUCACCAAAUCCAAAUCUCAUUCAUGAAUUCCUGCAAAUAUAUAGAAACAUAGUAACACAUGGGUAGAAGCUGAGGAUAAGGGGUAUGUAAAAUACCCUUACUUUGGCCGAAGCUGCAGUACACUUGGCCUCAAUGAAAAUUCGGCAAGUUUAGUAAACUGCCAUUUGUUCAUGGUAAAUGGAUUCAAUGAUUAUGACAAGUUCAUUUUUUUGUUUGAACAAA